UACGAAGGGGGCUAGCGUUGUUCGGAGUUACUGGGCGUAAAGGGUGUGUAGGCGGUUGUUUAAGUUUGGUGUGAAAUCUCCCGGCUCAACUGGGAGGGUGCGCCGAAUACUGAAUGACUAGAGUGCGGGAGAGGAAAGUGGAAUUCCUGGUGUAGCGGUGAAAUGCGUAGAUAUCAGGAGGAACACCGGUGGUGUAGACGGCUUUCUGGACCGUAACUGACGCUGAGACACGAAAGCGUGGGGAGCAAACAGG
rnacentral:rRNA from 1 species